rnacentral:rRNA from 1 species
CCUACGGGAGGCAGCAGUGAGGAAUAUUGGUCAAUGGAUGAGAGUCUGAACCAGCCAAGUAGCGUGAAGGAUGACUGCCCUAUGGGUUGUAAACUUCUUUUAUAUGGGAAUAAAAUGUUCCACGGUUGGGAUUUUGUAUGUACCAUAUGAAUAAGGAUCGGCUAACUCCGUGCCCGCAGCCGCGGUAAUACGGAGGAUGCGAGCGGUAUCCGGGUUUAUUGGGGUUAAAGGGAUCGUAGGAGGAUUGUUAAGUAAAUUGUGAAAGUUUGCGGCUCAACCUGAAAAUUGCAGUUGAAACUGGCAGUCUUGAGUACAGUAGAGGUGGGCGGAAUUCGUGGUGUAGCGGUGAAAUGCUUAGAUAUCACGAAGAACUCCGAUUGCGAAGGCAGCUCACUGGACUGCAACUGACACUGAGGCUCGAAAGUGUGGGUAUCAAACAGGAUUAGAUACCCCAGUAGUC